rnacentral:lncRNA from 1 species
AUUCUCACAUACCAACAAUAUUUUCUCCAUACAAUACACAAGAGGAAUUUGAUGGGAAUAUAAAAGGCGGGUUCUCUUGGUUGAACCGCCGAUGAUCGAACUACCAACCACAUUAAUUCUCCUUAUUUUUUGAAUCUGAGUUAAGUACCACUAAUGCCAGUUGAGUUUCUUGUUCUUCUCUUUUUACCACCACUGGUUCUUUUUUCUGCUGUUCCUUCUCACCUACUUGUGUUUCUCCAUCUUGUAAUUGCUGCACCACAUGCUGCUUUAAG